CCCCGAGCGAGGGCGGGGGGUGGGGGGGGUGAACGUUCUUCGGCGGAUCCCGGCCUCGCCUGUGCACGCGCCCGCCUGCCGGCGCUCGCGGCUUUUUACGAAGGAGCGGGAACCAAGUUGCCUGCGUUCUUUGCAGAUGUGCAGGGCUGACAGCACUUGCAGGGGUGAGGCCGGUCUGGAUGCCGUAGACUGUGCAGCGGAGGGGCCGGGUGGGACAUGGAAGGAGACCCUCUGCUGGAGGAGGAG